rnacentral:rRNA from 1 species
GAUGAACGCUGGCGGCGUGCCUAAUACAUGCAAGUCGAGCGAACAGACGAGGAGCUUGCUCCUCUGACGUUAGCGGCGGACGGGUGAGUAACACGUAGAUAACCUACCUAUAAGACUGGGAUAACUUCGGGAAACCGGAGCUAAUACCGGAUAAUAUAUUGAACCGCAUGGUUCAAUAGUGAAAGACGGUUUUGCUGUCACUUAUAGAUGGAUCCGCGCCGCAUUAGCUAGUUGGUAAGUUAACGGCUUACCAAGGCAACGAUGCGUAGCCGACCUGAGAGGGUGAUCGGCCACACUGGAACUGAGACACGGUCCAGACUCCUACGGGAGGCAGCAGUAGGGAAUCUUCCGCAAUGGGCGAAAGCCUGACGGAGCAACGCCGCGUGAGUGAUGAAGGUCUUCUGAUCGUAAAACUCUGUUAUUAGGGAAGAACAAAUGUGUAAGUAACUAUGCACGUCUUGACGGUACCUAAUCAGAAAGCCACGGCUAACUACGUG